rnacentral:rRNA from 1 species
CAGUAGCCGCGGUAAUACGGAGGGUGCGAGCGUUAAUCGGAAUUACUGGGCGUAAAGCGUACGUAGGCGGCUAAUUGAGUCGGAUGUGAAAUCCCCGAGCUUAACUUGGGAAUUGCAUUCGAUACUGGUUAGCUAGAGUGUUGUAGAGGAUGGUAGAAUUCCAGGUGUAGCGGUGAAAUGCGUAGAGAUCUGGAGGAAUACCGAUGGCGAAGGCAGCCAUCUGGACUAACACUGACGCUGAGGUACGAAAGCAUGGGGAGCAAACAGGAUUAGAUACCCGCGUAGUCCCUGUCUCUUAUAC